GUGUCAGCCGCCGCGGUAAGACAGAGGGUGCAAGCGUUGUUCGGAAUUAUUGGGCGUAAAGGGCGCGUAGGCGGCUAUGUAAGUCAAAUGUGAAAGCCCGGGGCUUAACCCCGGAAGUGCAUCUGAUACUGCGUAGCUUGAGUCUCGGAGAGGGUGGUGGAAUUCCUGGUGUAGAGGUGAAAUUCGUAGAUAUCAGGAGGAACACCGGUGGCGAAGGCGACCACCUGGACGAAGACUGACGCUGAGGCGCGAAAGCGUGGGGAGCAAACAGGAUUAGAUACCCUGGUAGUCCACGCUGUAAACGAUGAGUACUAGGUGUUGUGGGUAUUGACCCCUACAGUGCCGACGCUAACGCAUUAAGUACUCCGCCUGGGAAGUACGGCCGCAAGGCUAAA
rnacentral:rRNA from 1 species